rnacentral:rRNA from 1 species
AGCGCAGGCGGUUUGAUAAGUCUGAAGUUAAAGGCUGUGGCUCAACCAUAGUUCGCUUUGGAAACUGUCAAACUUGAGUGCAGAAGGGGAGAGUGGAAUUCCGAGUGUAGAGGUGAAAUUCGUAGAUAUUCGGAGGAACACCAGUGGCGAAGGCGACACACUGGCUCAUUACUGACGCUGAGGCUCGAAAGCGUGGGGAGCAAACA